rnacentral:lncRNA from 1 species
AGAUUCUUCUUGGUUUCUCUCUGGAACAUUCCUUCUUCCUGGGUUAGGCAGGACCCCUUCAGGAAUGAGGUGUUAUGAUCUAUCAGGUGAAGGACAUGUUUGCUUCCCUUUCCACCAUGAUUGCAAGUUUCCUGAGGCCUCCCUAGCCAUGCUGAACUCAGGAAAAGAAGAAAGCUGAAAACACACUGAGGAUUAUGGGAGAGGGGCAAGUGCAUGAAGCUUCUCAAUGACAUACAGACACUCUAAAAGCUCAAGAGAUCAAUUAUUCAACUUCAAGAACUGAAAUUUGAACACAGAUUUUGAGCUUCCAAAUCAGGAGAAAAAGAAGUGUUCUAUAAGAAGUUUGGACAAGACUCUGCAAGAAGUUAAGAGCAGGUCCUUAAAGGCAACUGUGAAUUAACGGAGACUAGUUUUGAGAAAAUCAGUCCUGAUUUGUUUCUCCUGGAGUUUUCUUCUUUAUGUGAUCCUUCAUAAAAGCUGCUAAUAUGGGAAAGAUUGAAAUCAGCAAGUUUCUGGCUGUAAGCUAAAAGAGGCUCUUGAAUCAUAUUUCCGCCUGCUUAGCAAAUUUCUCUUGCGACAAUUGGAUGUUAUUUGGGGUUCCAUACUAGCAGGAAGAAGUACAAGCAAAGCUAAGUCAUUUUGAGAAUAAAUAUUAUCUCUCUAUAUAUUUGUAAAUGUUAUUUUCUUUUUUUUUGAGGUUUAUGAUUGAUCCUUGGCAUGUGUCCCCUUGUGUAUUGCUCUACUAAAAAUAGCCUAAAAAAGAAUUUUCCCCUCGAUGUGGAGCUUCUCUUUAGUUACAAUUCUACUUUCUCCUUCACUUGAGUAUCAGUCUUCAGAGAACUACCAUAACAAAGGAGUGGAUACAGAUAUACGCAAAAAAGUCUAUGAGAAAAUUAGUACAUUAAAUUUGUGAAAGCUCAUUUAAAGUAAUUUUCUACUAACAAUUUUAAUCAAAUGUAUUAAUCAUAUUUCUAUGCUUAGUGAUGUUAAAUAAAAAUUUAAAAGGUGGCAAUCAAUAAACAGAGAUAAAA